rnacentral:rRNA from 1 species
AUGGCGGUGCGGUCGGAGUGGAGUUUUGGGGCGGCGUUUGUCCUCUUCGGUGGUGGGCCUCCAUGGAGUUUCGCCAUGGAUCGGCCGCCUUGUCCACGCUUGCAGUUCUUCGGAGCUGUUGUGUGUGGCCUUCCCUCAUCGGAGUCCGAGGAGCGACGAAUCCGGACGUUUGAAGAAGCUGAAGGAGUUGGUGAUGGUGAGCAAGACAAUGGCAUCGGCGGAGCAGGGUGGAGGCUCGCGGGAGCCGAGGUUCGACGACUUUCCGUCCGCAGAGGGGCUUCACCCGAUCCAAGGUUUGAGUAG